rnacentral:snRNA from 1 species
AAUGCUUUGUUCUGUUUUGUUUCU